GCAGAGUAGGUGUUCGCGCGUUAAGUGCCGGGAAGGAUGGGAAGUCGCCCCCGGACGAAAGGCCUUUUAACGGCCUGCGGUGCGUCGCCGCGUCCGCUGC
rnacentral:ncRNA from 1 species